AUGUAGUACAGCUUGAUUUUAUCAUUUAUGUUAAUAAAUAGUAUUUGUAUAUAUUUGUUCAUGCAUUGACUUGUUGACUGACUCUGACAGAGUAUACAGUAUGACAGUACUUUGAUUUUCUAUUCACUUGGGUAUUUACAUCCUGGGUAUUCUAUUUCUUUAUUCUGAUUGGUUACUCUGUGAACUCCUUUGAUAUUGAGGCACUCUUUUCAAAUUCUACACAGAGAUAUAGAACACUGACACUUUAUUGUGAUUUAUAGAUACUUAUUCUUCUUAUUCUGGAAACCAUUCUUUAUAUUCAGGUCAGUUAUAUUCUUUACAUUAGUAUUUGAUGCAUGUAUUUCUGUAUUUUUAUCUUGGUAUAAAAGAUAUGAAUGUGUUAUGAAAAUGUGUAUGAAAGUCCACUUUGAUUUCCAUGAGUAUGAAAGAGUUCAUAUUUUUACUUUAAGUUGGUAUUUGCAAGACAGAAAGAAUAUUACAGUUAUUAUAUUAUUUUUCAUAUUUGGCUGUUAUUAGAUUUCAGCAUAGAAUAUUGUCUUGGAUUGAGUUUAACUAUAUUAUUUACUAGUUUUGACAUUUAGACUUAUGAAGUCAUAUUUCUUUAUAUUCAGAUUCCAGUAUGUGAAGUAUAAGAGUAUACAGUAACUUUAUAGAGGAGCACUGCUCAGCCCUUGUAUUAUAUACACGGUAAGCUGUGUUCUGUGUUUACAUGUUUAUUUAUUUACGUGCUGUCUAUUUGUACUUAUGUGUUUUAAUUAAUGUGUGUCUUGUCUGUGUUUGUAAUGUGUUAUUGUUUAGUUUACGAAUAUCUCCGAAUAGAAUAGUGUAUCAGAAUUGAUUACUUUAGAUAAUGAUCGUUGACACAAGGUGUUAUUGAUAUCUGUAGAAUUGCAUAUUGAACAGUUACCGGAAAUAGACUUUGGUAUAGAUGCUUAUGAUUUGUAGUUAAACAUACUUUAUUAAAUAUGGUAUAUUUCGAACUGAAGUUAACUACUUGGAUAAUUUAUAUUUUAUUUUAUUAAUAUGGAGAUUAUAAUUAGAGUUAUCGUUCUUUGAACGUAUGUAUUGUGUCUUAUUGUGUGUUUUAUAUGUUACAGGGUGUUUAUUUGAGAUUACUAUAAUAAACCAAUAGAACCUUACUCAGAUGUUAUUUACGCCCAACUUGAUGAGUCUACAAAUGGCGCCCAACAUUCCAGUAUGUGAAGUAUAAGAGUAUACAGUAACUUUAUAGAGGAGCACUGCUCAGCCCUUGUAUUAUAUACACGGGUGUUUAUUUGAGAUUACUAUAAUAAACCAAUAGAACCUUA